UACGGGGGGGGCAAGCGUUGUUCGGAAUUACUGGGCGUAAAGGGCGCGUAGGCGGCCAUCUAAGUCGGACGUGAAAUCCCUCGGCUUAACCGAGGAACUGCGUCCGAUACUGGAAGGCUUGAAUCCGGGAGAGGGAUGUGGAAUUCCAGGUGUAGCGGUGAAAUGCGUAGAUAUCUGGAGGAACACCGGUGGCGAAGGCGGCAUCCUGGACCGGCGUUGACGCUGAGGCGCGAAAGCUAGGGGAGCAAACGGG
rnacentral:rRNA from 1 species